UACGAAGGGGGCUAGCGUUGCUCGGAAUUACUGGGCGUAAAGCGCACGUAGGCGGCUCUUUAAGUCGGGGUGAAAUCCUGGAGCUCAACUCCAGAACUGCCUUUGAUACUGGGAGGCUCGAGUCCGGGAGAGGUGAGUGGAACUGCGAGUGUAGAGGUGAAAUUCGUAGAUAUUCGCAAGAACACCAGUGGCGAAGGCGGCUCACUGGCCCGAUACUGACGCUGAGGCACGAAAGCGUGGGGAGCAAACAGGG
rnacentral:rRNA from 1 species